GACGAACGCUGGCGGCGUGCUUAACACAUGCAAGUCGAACGGAAAGGCCCUGCUUGCAGGGUACUCGAGUGGCGAACGGGUGAGUAACACGUGGGUGAUCUGCCCUGCACUUCGGGAUAAGCCUGGGAAACUGGGUCUAAUACCGGAUAGGAGCCAUUUUUAGUGUGAUGGUUGGAAAGUUUUUUCGGUGUAGGAUGAGCUCGCGGCCUAUCAGCUUGUUGGUGGGGUAAUGGCCUACCAAGGCGGCGACGGGUAGCCGGCCUGAGAGGGUGGACGGGCACAUUGGGACUGGGAUACGGCCCAGAAUCCUACGGGGGGCAGCAGUGGGGAAUAUUGCACAAUGGGCGCAAGCCUGAUGCAGCGACGCCGCGUGGGGGAUGACGGCCUUCGGGUUGUAAACUCCUUUCGCGAGGGACGAAGCUUUUUGUGACGGUACCUAGAUAAGAAGCACCGGCUAACUACGUG
rnacentral:rRNA from 1 species